CCUACGGGUGGCAGCAGUGGGGAAUAUUGCACAAUGGGGGAAACCCUGAUGCAGCGACGCCGCGUGAGUGAAGAAGUAUUUCGGUAUGUAAAGCUCUAUCAGCAGGGAAGAAAAUGACGGUACCUGAUUAAGAAGCUCCGGCUAACUACGUGCCAGCAGCCGCGGUAAUACGUAGGGGGCAAGCGUUAACCGGAUUUACUGGGUGUAAAGGGAGCGUAGACGGCAGCACAAGUCUGGAGUGAAAUGCCGGGGCUUAACCCCGGAACUGCUUUGGAAACUGGGCAGCUAGAGUGCAGGAGAGGUAAGUGGAAUUCCUAGGGUAGCGGUGGAAAGCGUAGAUAUUAGGAGGAACACCAGUGGCGAAGGC
rnacentral:rRNA from 1 species